UCCUACGGGAGGCAGCAGUGGGGAAUUUUGGACAAUGGGGGCAACCCUGAUCCAGCAAUGCCGCGUGCGUGAAGAAGGCCCUCGGGUUGUAAAGCUCUUUUGUCAGGGAAGAAACGGUGAUCUUUAAUACUGAGUGCUCAUGACGGACGAG
rnacentral:rRNA from 1 species